rnacentral:piRNA from 2 species
UGAGCAGAAGAAGUGAUUCACAUGGCUAGA